GACAGAGGUCCCGAGCGUUAGGCGGAAUCACUGGGCUUAAAGCGUGUGUAGGCGGAUCGUUAAGUACCUUGUGAAAUCCCACGGCUUAACCGUGGAACUGCUUGGUAUACUGGCGAUCUUGAGCCACUUAGGGGCUACCGGAACAAAUGGUGGAGCGGUGAAAUGCGUAGAUAUCAUCAGGAAUACCGGAGGCGAAGGCGGCUCACUGGGGCUUUUCUGACGCUGAGGAACGAAAGCCAGGGUAGCGAACGGG
rnacentral:rRNA from 1 species